rnacentral:misc_RNA from 1 species
UUUCCGUAGGUGAACCCGCGGAAGGAUCAUUGUCGAAGCCUGCCCAGCAGAACGACCCGCGAACUUGUAUAAACAACCGGGGGCAGGGGCGAUCUCGCCCCGCGCCCUCGAACGGCAGGGAGACACUCGUGCCUUCUUGUCGAACAACGAACCCCGGCGCGGUCUGCGCCAAGGAACUUCAAUUAAAGAGUGCCUCCGGUCGCCUCGGAAACGAUGCGCGUGUCGGAGGCGAAUCUUGUACAAAACCGUAACGACUCUCGGCAACGGAUAUCUCGGCUCUC